GCUGUGAUAGCUCAGUUGUUAGAGCAUCGAACGCAUAAUUCGAAGGUCGUAGGUUCGAUUCCUGCUCACAGUU
rnacentral:tRNA from 1 species